CGGACGGGUGAGUAAUGCUUGGGAAUCUGGCUUAUGGAGGGGGAUAACUACGGGAAACUGUAGCUAAUACCGCGUAAUAUCUUCGGAUUAAAGGGUGGGACUUUCGGGCCACCUGCCAUAAGAUGAGCCCAAGUGGGAUUAGGUAGUUGGUGGGGUAAAGGCCUACCAAGCCGACGAUCUCUAGCUGGUCUGAGAGGAUGACCAGCCACACUGGAACUGAGACACGGUCCAGACUCCUACGGGAGGCAGCAGUGGGGAAUAUUGCACAAUGGGGGGAACCCUGAUGCAGCCAUGCCGCGUGAAUGAAGAAGGCCUUCGGGUUGUAAAGUUCUUUCGGUGAUGAGGAAGGUGUUUGUUUUAAUAGAACAAGCAAUUGACGUUAGUCACAGAAGAAGCACCGGCUAACUCCGUGCCAGCAGCCGCGGUAAUACGGAGGGUGCGAGCGUUAAUCGGAAUGACUGGGCGUAAAGGGCACGCAGGCGGUGACUUAAGUGAGAUGUGAAAGCCCCGAGCUUAACUUGGGAAUUGCAUUUCAUACUGGGUCGCUAGAGUAUUUUAGGGAGGGGUAGAAUUCCACGUGUAGCGGUGAAAUGCGUAGAGAUGUGGAGGAAUACCGAAGGCGAAGGCAGCCCCUUGGGAAUAUACUGACGCUCAUGUGCGAAAGCGUGGGGAGCAAACAGGAUUAGAUACCCUGGUAGUCCACGCUGUAAACGCUGUCGAUUUGGGGAUUGGGCUUAGAGCUUGGUGCCCGUAGCUAACGUGAUAAAUCGACCGCCUGGGGAGU
rnacentral:rRNA from 1 species